rnacentral:rRNA from 1 species
GCUUGACACUGGAUAUAUUUAAUUGGUUUGGUUAGAUUUUAGUUUUAUAUAGUAAGUGUUUCGUUGGGGUGACGGGAAGAUAAGAGAAACUCUUUCUAAUUUUCUACACAAAUGAGUGAGUAAUUGAUCCAUAAAUAAUGAUUAUAAGACCAAGU